rnacentral:tRNA from 1 species
UCCCUAGUGGCUCAGGUGGUAAAGCGUCUGUCUGCAAUGCAGGAGACCCAGGUUCGAUCCCUCAGCUGGGAA